rnacentral:rRNA from 1 species
UACGUAGGAGGCAAGCGUUGUCCGGAGUUACUGGGCGUAAAGGGCCCGCAGGCGGUGGAGUAAGUUUGGAGUGACAGUUCCCAGCUUAACCGGGAAAGGACUUCGAAAACUGCUCGACUUGAGGACUGGAGAGGAAGGCGGAAUUCCGGGGUGGAGCGGUGAAAUGCGUAGAGAUCCGGAGGAACACCGACGGCGAAGGCAGCCUUCUGGAAAGUACCUGACGCUGAGGGGCGAAAGC